rnacentral:rRNA from 1 species
GUACUGAAAGGUAGAAGGGACUUACUACUUCGGAGUGAGAGCGUACACAGGUGCUGCAUGGCUGUCGUCAGCUCGUGUCGUGAGAUGUUGGGUUAAGUCCCGCAACGAGCGCAACCCUGCAUUCAGUUGCCAUCGGUAAGGCCGGGGCACUCUGGAUGGACUGCCGGCGACAAGCCGGAGGAAGGUGGGGGAUGACGUCAAGUCAUCAUGGCCCUUAUGUCCAGGGCGACACACGUGCUACAAUGGCCGGCACAACGGGAAGCGAAGGGGCGACCCUGAGCGGAUCCCCAUAAAAGCCGGUCCCAGUUCGGAUUGCAGUCUGCAACUCGACUGCAUGAAGUUGGAAUCGCUAGUAAUCGUGGAUCAGCCAAGCCGCGGUGAAUACGUUCCCGGGCCUU